AGGGGGCGAGCGUUAAUGGGMAUUACUGGGCGUAAAGGGUGCGCAGGCGGUUAUGUAGGGCAGAUGGGAAAUCCCGGGGCUCGUCGGGGGAACWGCAUUUGUGACUGCAUGGCUAGAGGUACGGUAGAGGGGGAUGGAAUUCCGCGUGUAGCAGUGAAAUGCGCAGAUAUGCGGAGGAACACCGAUGGCGAAGGCAGUCCCCUGGUCCUGUACUGACCCUCAKGCAUGAAAGGCUUGGG
rnacentral:rRNA from 1 species